GGUCGAGUAGCCGAGUGUUAGGCAGAAGUUCGCAAGACUUCAUACGGUGGUUCGAUUCCACCCUCGACCU
rnacentral:tRNA from 1 species